rnacentral:lncRNA from 1 species
AAUCUCAAUGUAGGACUUAACUAGUUAACUUACCCUCACAUUUGAAGACUAGACAUUUGAAAGUACAGUUUGAGGAACUGGGCAUUCAUGAAUUAUAAUCGCGAAAUUAAAUGUUUUAAUCUAAUACUAUCUAAUAAACCUAUGUGACACCCAAAACUACAUUAAUAUGAAAAUUGCUAUAUAUAGUAUAAGUUUACGAAUCUAUAUGGAAUAUUUUAGGAACAAAACUUUUAA